UUGGAUCCAUAGCCACCCUUGGCCACCAUAUUGGAUCCAGAGCCACCCAUAGCCGCCAUAUUGGCCGCCAUAUUGGAUCCAGAGCCACCCAUGGCCGCCAUAUUGGCCGCCUUAUUGGAUCCAGAGCCACCCUUGGCCGCCAUGUUGGAUCCAUAGCCACCCAUGGCCGCCAUAUUGGCCGCCAUAUUGGAUCCAUUGCCACCCUUGGCCGCCAUAUUGGAUCCAGAGCCACCCAUGGCCGCCAUAUUGGCCGCCAUAUUGGAUCCAUAGCCACCCUUGGCCGCCAUAUUGGAUCCAGAGCCACCCAUGGCCGCCAUAUUGGAUCCAGAGCCACCCAUGGCCGCCAUAUUGGGGUCCAUAGCCAACCAUGGCCGCCAUAUUGGCCGCCAUAUUGGAUCCAUAUCCACCCUUGGCCGCCAUAUUGGGGUCCAUAGCCACCCAUGGCCGCCAUAUUUGCCGCCAUAUUGGCCGCCAUAUUGGAUCCAUAGCCACCCUUGGCCGCCAUAUUGGGUCCCAUUGCCACCCCCCUUAGGCCGCCAUCUUGUCCGCCAUCUUGACCUCCACAGCCACCCAUGGGUGCCACCAUCCAUAUAUUAUCCCACAAUCGGGGUCCCAUUACCCCCCAUGUGUUCCCCCCCCUCCACAUUCCUCCAUCCGGGUCCUUUUCCCCCCUUUAUUUCACCCCCCCACCGCCCACCCCACCGCGGCCGCCAUUACCAGCACCCCCAACCCGGAUAUCCGCUCCACACCGGAAGUCCCACCCAUCCCAGAAGGCGGAAGCGGAUGUGACCACAGCGCCCCCCCAACUUCCGUUUCCUCCCCUUCCUCUUCACACGGACUUCCGUCAUCUUCAUCUUCCGGUUCCGGUUUACUUCCGGGUUGGGCGUGACGUAUGGAUACUUCCGGUAUCAUGGCGGCGAUCCAUUCGGUGUGGGCCGCGGUUCGGGUGUAGACACCGGGACGGGCCGGGAGGCCGCAGGAUUCACCCCAACUCACGAUACCGGCCAACAGCCACACGUCGCCAACCAGGCACGACAGGGGGCCGCCGGAAUCACCCUAUAGGGGGGAUAUGGGGUUAUAUGGGGGGUAAUGGGGUUAUAUGGGGGGAUAUGGGGGGUAAUAGGGUGGGUUAUAUGGGGUUAUAUGGGGUUAUAUGGGAAAUAAUGGGGUUAUAUGGGAAAUAAUGGGAUUAUAUUGGGGUAUAUGGGGAUAUGAAGGGGAUAUGUGGUCUCUAUAGGGUUAUAUGGGGUCUCUAUGGGGAGAUAUGCGGGGAAUAUGGGGGGUAAUAAGGUCUCUAUAGGGUUAUAUGGGGGUAAUGGGGUUAUAUGGGGGGAUAUGGGGUCUCUAUAGGGUUAUAUGGGGUCUCUAUAGGGUUAUAUGGGGGGAUAUGGGGGCUAUAUAGGGUUAUAUGGGGGGAUAUGGGGUCUCUAUAGGGUUAUAUGGGGUUAUAUGGGGGGAUAUGGGGUCUCUAUAGGGUUAUAUGGGGUCUCUAUGGGGAGAUAUAGGGUUAAUAAUGUGGAUAUGGGUUCCUAUGAAUGGAUGGGGGGGUUCCGGUUCCGGUUCCCGUUUCCGGUUCCGGUUCUCACCUGACACGCGUCGCGCGCCCCCUGCCGGUACCCGGCACAAACCGUGUCCGCAGCCGGAAGUGCCACGUGACCGUCCCGACCCGGACGGGAAUAAAAACAACGACAACGACGACGGGACA
rnacentral:lncRNA from 1 species